rnacentral:lncRNA from 1 species
UAUGUAUAUAAAUAUUAGAUAUUUAUAUACUAUCUAUUACGACAAGCGCACAAAAAGAAAUAAAAAACGGUGAAUGUAAAGUAGACAAAUCAAAAGCAGAAAAUAAAAUGAGCACAAAAAUUUACGUGAAAAAUCCGUUGCAUGAAGAAAACUGUGGAUGAAGCAGGAGAGAACUUUACUAGGAAAAAAAAAAAUGGAGUACAAUAGUAUGAAGAUUACAAAAUGCUGCAUCGCGUUUGGGGCAAAAAAGGAGGAGAAAAAUUUAUUAACGAAUUCUUCAUUAUCGGAUCAGAUCCUUAUAUACCCAUUAAAGACAUUCAUUUUUUCUUCACAAUUCAUUUUCCAAAAAAAUCUUGUUGCAUGGGGCCCAAGAUCAAAGUGGAUAACCAAAUUUUGAGACACCUCUAACAUUAUCAAUAGUAUACUAGCUCGAUUACGAAUUUUUUUUAUUUUUUGAUAAAAUCAUAUAAAUUAUAUUUCAACACACUCACUAUGUUUUGAACUACUGUCACCUCUAUAUUAUUAAGUCGCUUUCGAUGUUGGAACUUUCAAAUAGACAAUUGGCUCUAUCAAACUCAAUUUAGAGUAUAUAAAGCAUGUACAUAAAUGAGAUUUUUAUUUUCAAUCAUUGAUUUUGAGUUCCUUCAAUGAUCACUAGAUAAAUGAUAUCAAAAAAAAUUUAUAUUCUAAAGAUUUUCGAUACCCUACAUCAAGCGUAACGGAGCCGACCGUUGAUUCGAAAGUUUCAGUAUCGAAAACAACUUGAUAGCACGGAUUUCACCGUACUUUUUUUUUUUGAGAGGUAGGUAGCACGUUAUCCGUUUCGCUUAUUUCAUUUAGAAAUAAACUUAAUUGGAAAUGUGAAUCAACUAGGAUUUUACCGUACUUUUAAAAGCAUAUAAGUUGGACACUGUCUCUCUA